GAUAAACGCUGGCGGCGUGCUUAACACAUGCAAGUCGAACGGAGUGGUUCUCCCGAGGAUUGAUAGUGCUUGCACUUGAUUGACUCAUUUGAAUCACUUAGUGGCGGACGGGUGAGUAACGCGUGGGUAACCUGCCUCAUACUGGGGGAUAGCAGUUGGAAACGACUGAUAAUACCGCAUAAGCGCACAGUAUCGCAUGAUACAGUGUGAAAAACUCCGGUGGUAUGAGAUGGACCCGCGUCUGAUUAGCUAGUUGGCGAGGUAACGGCCCACCAAGGCAACGAUCAGUAGCCGGCCUGAGAGGGUGUACGGCCACAUUGGGACUGAGACACGGCCCAAACUCC
rnacentral:rRNA from 1 species